rnacentral:rRNA from 1 species
UACGUAGGGUGCGAGCGUUGUCCGGAAUUAUUGGGCGUAAAGGGCUCGUAGGCGGUUUGUCGCGUCGGGAGUGAAAUCAUCUGGCUUAACUGGGUGCUUGCUUUCGAUACGGGCAGACUAGAGGUAUGCAGGGGAGAACGGAAUUCCUGGUGUAGCGGUGGAAUGCGCAGAUAUCAGGAGGAACACCAGUGGCGAAGGCGGGCAUCUGGGCCAACACUGACGCUGAGGCGCGAAAGCUAGGGGAGCAAACAGG